rnacentral:rRNA from 1 species
CAGCAGCCGCGGUAAUACAGAGGGUGCGAGCGUUAAUCGGAUUUACUGGGCGUAAAGCGUGCGUAGGCGGCCUUUUAAGUCGGAUGUGAAAUCCCUGAGCUUAACUUAGGAAUUGCAUUCGAUACUGGGAUGCUAGAGUAUGGGAGAGGAUGGUAGAAUUCCAGGUGUAGCGGUGAAAUGCGUAGAGAUCUGGAGGAAUACCGAUGGCGAAGGCAGCCAUCUGGCCUAAUACUGACGCUGAGGUACGAAAGCAUGGGGAGCAAACAGGAUUAGAUACCCCAGUAGUCCCUGUCUCUUAUAA